rnacentral:rRNA from 1 species
AAACCAGCACCUCAAGUGGUCAGGAUGAUUAUUGGGCCUAAAGCAUCCGUAGCCGGCUCUGUAAGUUUUCGGUUAAAUCUGUACGCUUAACGUACAGGCUGCUGGGAAUACUGUAGAGCUAGGGAGUGGGAGAGGUAGACGGUACUCGGGAGGAAGUGGUAAAAUGCUUUGAUCUCUCGAUGACCACCUGUGGCGAAGGCGGUCUACCAGAACACGUCCGACGGUGAGGGAUGAAAGCUGGGGGAGCAAACCGUAUUAGAAACCCCAGUAGUCC